rnacentral:rRNA from 1 species
GUAGCUAAUACCCGAUACAUCCUUUUCCUGCAUGGGAGAAGGAGGAAAGGCGGAGCAAUCUGUCACUUGUGGAUGGGCCUGCGGCGCAUUAGCUAGUUGGUGGGGUAAAGGCCUACCAAGGCGACGAUGCGUAGCCGACCUGAGAGGGUGAUCGGCCACACUGGGACUGAGA